rnacentral:sRNA from 1 species
UAUUAUCUAAUAUUUAGCGGACAGCUCUUGAGAUUUGUUUGGAACAUGAUCAAGUUUUGUUGUUAUCUAGACUUUACUCUUCCAAGGCCAAAUUUGCUUGAGAUUUAUUUGGCUCAUUACUCUUCAUCA